UGCAGUCGAGCGGACAGAUGGGAGCUUGCUCCCUGAUGUUAGCGGCGGACGGGUGAGUAACACGUGGGUAACCUGCCUGUAAGACUGGGAUAACUCCGGGAAACCGGGGCUAAUACCGGAUGCUUGUUUGAACCGCAUGGUUCAAACAUAAAAGGUGGCUUCGGCUACCACUUACAGAUGGACCCGCGGCGCAUUAGCUAGUUGGUGAGGUAACGGCUCACCAAGGCGACGAUGCGUAGCCGACCUGAGAGGGUGAUCGGCCACACUGGGACUGAGACACGGCCCAGACUCCUACGGGAGGCAGCAGUAGGGAAUCUUCCGCAAUGGACGAAAGUCUGACGGAGCAACGCCGCGUGAGUGAUGAAGGUUUUCGGAUCGUAAAGCUCUGUUGUUAGGGAAGAACAAGUGCCGUUCAAAUAGGGCGGCACCUUGACGGUACCUAACCAGAAAGCCACGGCUAACUACGUGCCAGCAGCCGCGGUAAUACGUAGGUGGCAAGCGUUGUCCGGAAUUAUUGGGCGUAAAGGGCUCGCAGGCGGUUUCUUAAGUCUGAUGUGAAAGCCCCCGGCUCAACCGGGGAGGGUCAUUGGAAACUGGGGAACUUGAGUGCAGAAGAGGAGAGUGGAAUUCCACGUGUAGCGGUGAAAUGCGUAGAGAUGUGGAGGAACACCAGUGGCGAAGGCGACUCUCUGGUCUGUAACUGACGCUGAGGAGCGAAAGCGUGGGGAGCGAACAGGAUUAGAUACCCUGGUAGUCCACGCCGUAAACGAUGAGUGCUAAGUGUUAGGGGGUUUCCGCCCCUUAGUGCUGCAGCUAACGCAUUAAGCA
rnacentral:rRNA from 1 species